AUACUUACUUGGCAGGGGAGAUACCAUGAUCAUGAAGGUGGUUUUCCCAGGGUGAGGUUAUCCAUUGUACUCCUGAUGUGCUGACCCCUGCUAUUUCCCCAAAUGUGGGAAACAUGACUGCAUAAUUUGUGGUAGUGGGAGACUGCACUGUCCCUUG
rnacentral:snRNA from 1 species